rnacentral:misc_RNA from 1 species
GAAAUGCGAUAAGUAAUGUGAAUUGCAGAAUUCAGUGAAUCAUCGAAUCUUUGAACGCACAUUGCGCCCGCCAGUAUUCUGGCGGGCAUGCCUGUUCGAGCGUCAUUUCAACCAUCAAGCCCCCGGCUUGUGUUGGGGACCUGCGGCUGCCCGCAGGCCCUGAAAAACAGUGGCGGGCUCGCUGUCACACCGAGCGUAGUAGCAUACAUUCUCGCUCAGGGCGUGCUGCGGGUUCCGGCCGUUAAACGACCUUCGUAACCCAAGGUUGACCUCGGAUCAGGUAGGAAGACCCGCUGAACUUAAGC